GGAUUAGAUACCCUGGUAGUCCACGCCGUAAACGAUGCACACUAGAUUGGGGCGGUUCUGACACCGUCCCAGUCGAAGGAAAACUGUUAAGUGUGCCGCCUGGGGAGUACGGUCGCAAGGCUAAAACUCAAAGGAAUUGACGGGGGCUCACACAAGCGGUGGAGCAUGUUGCUUAAUUCGAGGCAACGCGAAGAACCUUAUCCUAGGCUUGACAUGUAUGGAUUAGUAUUUGGAAACAAGUAUGACGCCCUUGGGUGGAACAUACACAGGUGCUGCAUGGCUGUCGUCAGCUCGUGUCG
rnacentral:rRNA from 1 species